GCGGUUAUGAUGAAAAGGUAGACAUAGGACACUUAAAAUGUCCGGGCAAAGCCGUGUAGGUUCGACUCCUACUAACCGCA
rnacentral:tRNA from 2 species